rnacentral:rRNA from 1 species
UACGUAGGGACCAAGCGUUGUUCGGAAUUACUGGGCGUAAAGGGCGCGUAGGCGGCCUGUUAAGUCGAACGUGAAAUCCCCAGGCUUAACUUGGGAACUGCAUCCGAUACUGGAUGGCUUGAAUCCGGGAGAGGGAUGCGGAAUUCCAGGUGUAGCGGUGAAAUGCGUAGAUAUCUGGAGGAACACCGGUGGCGAAGGCGGCAUCCUGGACCGGCAUUGACGCUGAUGAGCGAAAGCCAGGGGAGCAAACGGG